CCUACGGGUGGCAGCAGUAGGGAAUAUUGCGCAAUGGGGGAAACCCUGACGCAGCGACGCCGCGUGAGUGAUGAAGGCCUUCGGGUCGUAAAGCUCUGUUGUAUGGAAAACGGUACCAUAUAAGAAAGGAUCGGCUAACUUCGUGCCAGCAGCCGCGGUAAGACGAGGGAUCCUAGCGUUGUUCGGAAUCAUUGGGCGUAAAGAGUAUGUAGGCGGCUUUGUAAGUCAGUUGUGAAAUCCCCGGGCUCAACCCGGGAAGUGCAAAUGAUACUGCUAAGCUUGAAUUUGGAAGAGGGUAGUGGAAUUCCUGGUGUAGUGGUGAAAUACGUAGAUAUCAGGAGGAACACCGGUGGCGAAGGCGGCUACCUGGUCUAAUUGACGCUGAGAUACGAAAGCAUGGGGAUCAAACAGGAUUAGAUACCCUUGUAGUC
rnacentral:rRNA from 1 species